AGAUUGAACGCUGGCGGCAGGCCUAACACAUGCAAGUCGAGCGGCAGCACGGGUACUUGUACCUGGUGGCGAGCGGCGGACGGGUGAGUAAUGCCUAGGAAUCUGCCUGGUAGUGGGGGAUAACGCUCGGAAACGGACGCUAAUACCGCAUACGUCCUACGGGAGAAAGCAGGGGACCUUCGGGCCUUGCGCUAUCAGAUGAGCCUAGGUCGGAUUAGCUAGUUGGUGAGGUAAUGGCUCACCAAGGCGACGAUCCGUAACUGGUCUGAGAGGAUGAUCAGUCACACUGGAACUGAGACACGGUCCAGACUCCUAACGGGAGGCAGCAGGUGGGGAAUAGUUAGGACAAGUGGGACGAAAGCCUGAUCCAAGCCAUGCCGCGUGUGUAGAAGAAGGUCUUCGGAUUAGUAAAGCUA
rnacentral:rRNA from 1 species